UGGGGGAUAUUGCACAAUGGGGGAAACCCUGAUGCAGCGACGCCGCGUGGAGGAAGAAGGUUUUCGGAUUGUAAACUCCUGUCGUUAGGGACGAUAAUGACGGUACCUAACAAGAAAGCACCGGCUAACUACGUGCCAGCAGCCGCGGUAAAACGUAGGGUGCAAGCGUUGUCCGGAAUUACUGGGUGUAAAGGGAGCGCAGGCGGUGCGGCAAGUCAGAUGUGAAAACCCGGGGCUCAACCCCGGGACUGCAUUUGAAACUGUCGGACUAGAGUAGUGCAGAGGUAGGCGGAAUUCCCGGUGUAGCGGUAAAAUGCGUAGAUAUCGGGAGGAACACCAGUGGCGAAGGCGGCCUACUGGGCACCAACUGACGCUGAGGCUCGAAAGUGUGGGUAGCAAACAGGAUUAGAUACCCUGGUAGUCCACACCGUAAACGAUGAUUACUAGGUGUUGGAGGAUUGACCCCUUCAGUGCCGCAGUUAACACAAUAAGUAAUCCACCUGGGGAGUACGACCGCAAGGUUGAAACUCAAAGGAAUUGACGGGGGCCCGCACAAGCAGUGGAGUAUGUGGUUUAAUUCGACGCAACGCGAAGAACCUUACCAAGUCUUGACAUCCUCUGACGAACGUAGAAAUACGUUUUCUCUUCGGAGCAGAGAGACAGGUGGUGCAUGGUUGUCGUCAGCUCGUGUCGUGAGAUGUUGGGUUAAGUCCCGCAACGAGCGCAACCCUUAUGGUCAGUUACUACGCAAGAGGACUCUGGCCAGACUGCCGUUGACAAAACGGAGGAAGGUGGGGAUGACGUCAAAUCAUCAUGCCCUUUAUGACUUGGGCUACACACGUACUACAAUGGCGUUAAACAAAGAGAAGCAAGACCGCGAGGUGGAGCAAAACUCAGAAACAACGUCCCAGUUCGGACUGCAGGCUGCAACUCGCCUGCACGAAGUCGGAAUUGCUAGUAAUCGUGGAUCAGCAUGCCACGGUGAAUACGUUCCC
rnacentral:rRNA from 1 species